UAAUAGCGUUAGGGGGUGAAGCGGCAUCCUUUUACGAAGCGAAUAGCGAAGUAAAAGAUAUAGCGGAAGACCCGACCGAAG
rnacentral:misc_RNA from 1 species